rnacentral:rRNA from 1 species
UACGAAGGACCCGAGCGUUAUCCGGAUUUAUUGGGUUUAAAGGGUGUGUAGGCGGACUUUUAAGUCAGCGGUGAAAUCUCCGGGCUCAACCCGGAAACUGCCAUUGAUACUAUUGGUCUUGAAUGUUGUUGAGGUGGGCGGAACGGGUCAUGUAGCGGUGAAAUGCAUAGAUAUGACCCGGAACACCGAUUGCGAAGGCAGCCCACUAAGCAAUGAUUGACGCUGAGGCACGAAAGCGUGGGGAUCAAACAGG